AUUGAACGCUGGCGGCAGGCCUAACACAUGCAAGUCGAACGAGUGGCGGACGGGUGAGUAAUGUCUGGGAAACUGCCUGAUGGAGGGGGUUAACUACUGGAAACGGUAGCCAAUACCGCAUACCAUCGGAUGUGCCCAGAUGGGAUUAGCUAGUAGGUGGGGUAAAGGCUCACCUAGGCGACGAUCCCUAGCUGGUCUGAGAGGAUGACCGGCCAAACGGGAACGGGGAAACGGUCCAGCUUCCUACGGGAGGCAGAGGGGGGAAAUAUUGCAAAAUGGGCGCAAGCCGAAUGCAGCCAUGCCGCGUGGAUGAAGAAGGCCUUCGGGUUGUAAAGUACUUUCAGCGGGGAGGCGUUACCCGCAGAAGAAGCACCGGCUAACUCCGUGCCAGCAGCCGCGGUAAUUC
rnacentral:rRNA from 1 species